UACGGAGGGGGCUAGCGUUGUUCGGAAUUACUGGGCGUAAAGCGCACGUAGGCGGCUUUGCAAGUUAGAGGUGAAAGCCCGGGGCUCAACUCCGGAAUUGCCUUUAAAACUGCAUCGCUAGAAUUGUGGAGAGGUAAGUGGAAUUCCGAGUGUAGCGGUGAAAUGCGUAGAGAUCCGGAGGAACACCAGUGGCGAAGGCGGCUUUCUGGGUCCGCCCUGACGCUGAGGCGCGAAAGCGUGGGGAGCGAACGGG
rnacentral:rRNA from 1 species